GCAAUGUUGCACGUGAACAUACUUGACUAGGUCAGCUAAUUUUAAGCGCAACAAACCCAAAAACCAGCCAUCAUGAUUAGGUUUGGCUCAGACAGGGUUUAGAAAAUAAAGUACCUUUUAUGUGUCCUUUAGAAAAAUUGUUCAACAGUGAAUGAUGAAAUUUCAGUUGAAUAAGUCGACUCAAGUUCAAACUACGCAACUUGAAAUACUUCGCCUUUUACCGUAAACAGGUAUCAAUCAUCCCAAAGGCAAGAUAUACUGACUGUCAUGUUACUGGGCUUAUUUUUCUACAGACGGGCAAUAUGCUUCCUUAUUUGCGCGUCUACGUCGCUUACACUUACAGGCGCUGUACCAGAAACGCAGAAACCCGCUUCGGUGCUACAGCAGCUGCCCUCUGCCGGCCCUUCGAGCAGCUUACUUCAUCCUGAUGGCCAUCAGGUGUCACUGCCUGCCUACUCCCUGGCACCACUUCUCAGGAGCGUCAGAAGCAUAGACGACGACGACCUUCGUCGAGAUGUGAAUUCACAACUCCAAAGCAAUCGUCCAUUAGACGCCAAAAUAGAUUAUCUCAUUUCCACGCUUGCAAAUCUGGUGAAAAAGCAAAUCAGGAAUGAAAUUCAAGAGAAGUUAAUCAACAGAAUCAAGACGGACAUUCUCGACCCUAUAGACGAAUCCAUUCCAGACCUGCACAGUCAGCGUGGUCGUCGAUGACUGAGAUUCGAAUUAUCUACCUCAAUUCACCCGAGUGUGAGUACGCUGUCCCUUGUCAUGUUGCUUGCAUGCGAGCAGCUGUUUGAAUUUUUGUUUGCAGUAUCUGAUAUAAAUGUACCAUGCAUGAGUCAAAUAACCUAAAAAGUCAAUAAAUGAGUAAGUUUGGA